GUGGGGAAUAUUGGACAAUGGGCGCAAGCCUGAUCCAGCCAUGCCGCGUGAGUGAUGAAGGCCUUAGGGUUGUAAAGCUCUUUCAGUGGGGACGAUAAUGACGGUACCUACAGAAGAAGCCCCGGCUAACUUCGUGCCAGCAGCCGCGGUAAUACGAAGGGGGCUAGCGUUGUUCGGAUUUACUGGGCGUAAAGCGCACGUAGGCGGAUUGGUCAGUUAGAGGUGAAAUCCCGAAGCUCAACUUCGGAACUGCCUUUAAUACUGCCAGUCUCGAGUCCGGAAGAGGUGAGUGGAACUCCUAGUGUAGAGGUGGAAUUCGUAGAUAUUAGGAAGAACACCAGUGGCGAAGGCGGCUCACUGGUCCGGUACUGACGCUGAGGUGCGAAAGCGUGGGGAGCAAACAGGAUUAGAAACCCCAGUAGUCC
rnacentral:rRNA from 1 species